AUUUUAGUGUCAAACCGUGCGCAGCACCCUGGGUCCGUUGGGUAACCCAAUCUCGACCUCGAGCGGCGGCGCUGCCGCAUCCGCCAUCGUCGCGCCGCCCGUCCCACUCCAACCCCAUGCCACCACGUCCUCCUCCUCUCCUCUCUCCGUCCUCGCCUUCCGCGGAUUUCCAUUCCUCGGUGCCCGUUCCCCAGCGCCGUUUCCCUGUCGCCUCGUCCUGGGCUGGGACCACCGCGCUCUGCUUCUUGGAAUCGCAGUCCUCGGCGUCCUCCUCAUCCAAGAGGCGGAUGAGAACCUGCGAUUCAUCGACUCCGAGAUCGAGUGCAUCGUGCAGUACGAGGAGAGCACUGCCAGCAAGGUAUGCAGGUUUCAGUUGGAGGCCGGAAGGAAUUGGGUGCCAAUUUAACCCAGAUGGCACAUGGUGCCUUUUGUGAUGGACCGGUGUGAAAAUGUGAUUGUCACAUGCUUGAUGCUUGGAUUCUAGAUUUGAAGGAAAAAAGAAAAAAAAUUCCACAUUAUGUCUUUCUUGCUUUCUUGCGUCCAAAAGUUCUGAAUUGUAUUGUGGUGUGUUAGUGUUUUGAGUUUGUGCCUUGGUGCCUUUUCAUGCUCUCUGAAUUGUGUCUGGUAUUAGACUAUUAGUUUCGUCAUGUAUGUUUCAUUCUGUGAAAAAAGAAUGAAUUAUUCUGUGAAUUAUACUCCCUUCCAUACACACUCUGGAUUUCUGUUCAAUUAGUGUAGAUGUCUUAAAAGAAGUUGUGGUGAUGGUAGGGAGAAGCUUGCACUGUUAGAGAACUGCAAGUUCAUAGUAGAAUGUUCCCACUAGACUUCAGUUUACCAGGUUUCUAACUGAUUCUUAUGCAGGAUGUUUGUGGAAAUCUGCUGGCACGCCUUCAUCAGAUGAAAAGUUCAAUGGGUGUUAACUUAGCCUUUCCUCCUACAGGUGGGAUCCUCAAACCGGCAGCAAGUGCAGGAGCAAGAAUAGGAGUUCAAUAUCCAGCUUGUGGCAGGGGCAGUACUAAGAUCUAGGCUCCAUGCUGAAUCAAGUCAAGGUCCUGCCUAUCAAGGCAGAGUAGGCUUUAGUUGCUCGGAUCUAUCUUGUCUGCUGUAGAUUGAGAAUAAGAUAUGGCCUUAUGGUUUCUUCAUGUCAACUGUAGCAGCAAAGAUAUUGUUUGUCCAUCUUCUCCUUCUCC